GACGAACGCUGGCGGCGUGCUUAACACAUGCCAGUCGAACGGAAAGGCCCUGCUUUUGUGGGGUGCUCGAGUGGCGAACGGGUGAGUAACACGUGAGUAACCUGCCCUUGACUUUGGGUUAACUUCAGGAAACUGGGGCUAAUACCGGAUAGGAGCUCCUGCUGCAUGGUGGGGGUUGGAAAGUUUCGGCGGUUGGGGAUGGACUCGCGGCUUAUCAGCUUGUUGGUGGGGUAGUGGCUUACCAAGGCUUUGACGGGUAGCCGGCCUGAGAGGGUGACCGGCCACAUUGGGACUGAGAUACGGCCCAGACUCCUACGGGAGGCAGCAGUGGGGAAUAUUGCACAAUGGGCGGAAGCCUGAUGCAGCAACGCCGCGUGCGGGAUGACGGCCUUCGGGUUGUAAACCGCUUUCGCCUGUGACGAAGCGUGAGUGACGGUAAUGGGUAAAGAAGCACCGGCUAACUACGUG
rnacentral:rRNA from 1 species